AAAACCAGAAACAUUGAUCAUUAAUGUACUCCUAAACCAGUUACAAUGAUGAGAAGAAGAAAAAAACAGCAAAUUCCUAGCAGUCUAAUCUUUUAUUUUUCUUUAUUUGAG